rnacentral:rRNA from 1 species
GGACGAACGCUGGCGGCGUGCCUAAUACAUGCAAGUCGAACGCUGAAGGAAGGAGCUUGGUUUUUCCGGAUGAGUUGGGAACGGGGGAGUAACGCGUAUGUAACCUGCCUGGAAGGGGGGGAUAACUAUUGGAAACGAGAGCUAAUACCGCAUAAUAGUAGAUAUCGCAUGAUAACUGCUUAAAAGGUGCAAUUGCAUCACUACCAGAUGGACCUGCGUUGUAUUAGCUAGUUGGUGAGGUAACGGCUCACCAAGGCAACGAUACAUACCCAACCUGAGAGGGUGAUCGGCCACACUGGGACUGAGACACGGCCCCUACUCCUACGGGAGGCAGCAAUAAGGAAUCUUCGGCAAUGGACGGAAGUCUGACCGAGCAACGCCGCGUGAGUGAAGAAGGUUUUCGGAUCGUAAAGCUCUGUUGUAAAAGAAGAACGAGUGUGAGAGUGGAAAGUUCACACUGUGACGGUAUCUUACCAGAAAGGGACGGCUAACUACGUGCCACCAGCCGCGGUAAUACGUAAGUCCCGAGCGUUGUCCGGAUUUAUUGGGCGUAAAGCGAGCGCAAGCGGUUAGAUAAGUCUGAAGUUAAAGGCUGUGGCUUAACCAUAGUACGCUAUGGAAACUGUUUAACUUGUUUGCAAGAGGGGAGAGUGGAAUUCCAUGUGUAGCGUUGAUAUGCGUAUAUAUAUGUAGGAACACCGGUGGCGAAAGCGGCUCUCUGUCUUGACACUGACGCUGAAGCUCGAGAGCAUGGGGAGCAAACAGGAUUAGAUACCCUGGUAGUCCACGCCGCUGACGAUGAGUGCUAUGUGUUAUACGCUUUCCGGGGUUUAGUGCCGAAGCUAACGCAUUACGCACUCCGCAUGGGCAGUGCGA